CCAGGGCUUCUCUGCAGUCCCGGCCCUGGUUAGGAAGCCCUAAAUCCUCUGGGUCUUCAGUGAGGCAUGCUGGAAUCUCCAAAGAGCAACACUCCUAACAAAACCUAAAGGAAGGUCUCAGUGUACUGUUAUCAGUGCCAAGAUGCCCAGCACCCCAGCAGCAAGCCCUCUGGAUGCACUUACCCUGGUCUGCUCGUGAAGGCAACUGAGGCGCCACAGAGGGAUUCCUGCUUUCAGCCUAAGGGCAAUAUUGCAGCACCAGGCCUGAUGAGUCUUAUCCCUCCCAUGGAGCCAAUCUAAGG
rnacentral:lncRNA from 1 species